CUGGCACCUAAAAAGCCCUCAAUAAAUGUUUGUAGGAAUGGCAUGGGAAAUUGGUGAAAGGCUCUGAGAGACUCGAAACGAGGCCAACUCCACGGUGGGGAUUAAGCAUCUCAGCGGAUCCAGAGUCGUGGGCGGAGAGGGUCCAACCGGUAACCUGGUUGGAAAGGAUGGCUGAGAACGGGCACCGCUAAGGAGAACCUGGAGAGCUGACCCUCUGAUGAGAGAGAGCGAGAGCAGGUCUGGCCGCAGCCAUUCCUGGAAGGCCGGGGACAGACAGAGGCCUGAAUCCCGUCUUAUAAUAGAUCUUGAGAAAUGGAGUAUUUCCUGCCAUCUCAGUAAACAAGGAUGCUACAGUCAUCAGUGAUUCCAGGCCUCCAGGGCAACCAGGAAGAACAACCUGUGAUCCAGCAGCCACUUACUAAGUUAAAGUUGCAGGUAUUGUCCCUUGAUCCAUCACACCAGAGCGAAGAAGGCAUACCACGCUGACCCGGAGGACGCUGAGUGGACCACCCAGAAGGACCCCAUUGACCCAUGGGAAACCAAGAUCAUUCUGAGGAGGAAGAAGAAAACGAGGUCCUGGAGGAGCCCUCUACAGGAUGGAGCUGGGUAAAUGACUCCUGCUGCGCGGCCUCACCAAUGCAAUUCUGAACUUGGGCAUGUGGGGCUAUGCCCCUGUCGGUAAUGGACAGACUCCCCUAGUGGGUAUCGCCACUCCGUCCCUCUCUCUCACCAACCAUAACCUUUCUUUGCUCUCCUGGUGUAAGAAGAAGCCAUCAAUGGGCCAGGGACAGAGGGUUACAUUU